rnacentral:rRNA from 1 species
GACGAACGCUGGCGGCGUGCUUAACACAUGCAAGUCGAACGGAAAGGCCCUGCUUUUGUGGGGUGCUCGAGUGGCGAACGGGUGAGUAACACGUGAGUAACCUGCCCUUGACUUUGGGAUAACUUCAGGAAACUGGGGCAAUACCGGAUAGGAGCUCCUGCUGCAUGGUGGGGGUUGGAAAGUUUCGGCGGUUGGGGAUGGACUCGCGGCUUAUCAGCUUGUUGGUGGGGUAGUGGCUUACCAAGGCUUUGACGGGUAGCCGGCCUGAGAGGGUGACCGGCCACAUUGGGACUGAGAUACGGCCCAGACUCCUACGGGAGGCAGCAGUGGGGAAUAUUGCACAAUGGGCGGAAGCCUGAUGCAGCAACGCCGCGUGCGGGAUGACGGCCUUCGGGUUGUAACCCGCUUUCGCCUGUGACGAAGCGUGAGUGACGGUAAUGUGUAAAGAAGCACCGGCUAACUACGUG